AACGAACGCUGGCGGCAUGCCUAACACAUGCAAGUCGAACGAGACCUUCGGGUCUAGUGGCGCACGGGUGCGUAACGCGUGGGAACCUGCCUUUAGGUUCGGAAUAACUCAGAGAAAUUUGAGCUAAUACCGGAUGAUGUCUUCAGACCAAAGAUUUAUCGCCUUUAGAUGGGCCCGCGUUGGAUUAGCUAGUUGGUGGGGUAAAGGCCUACCAAGGCGACGAUCCAUAGCUGGUCUGAGAGGAUGAUCAGCCACACUGGGACUGAGACACGGCCCAGACUCCUACGGGAGGCAGCAGUGGGGAAUAUUGGACAAUGGGCGAAAGCCUGAUCCAGCAAUGCCGCGUGAGUGAUGAAGGCCUUAGGGUUGUAAAGCUCUUUUACCCGAGAUGAUAAUGACAGUAUCGGGAGAAUAAGCUCCGGCUAACUCCGUG
rnacentral:rRNA from 1 species